rnacentral:rRNA from 1 species
UACGUAGGGGGCAAGCGUUGGCCGGAUUUAUUGGGCGUAAAGAGCUCGUAGGCGGCUUGGCAAGUCGGGUGUGAAAACUUCAGGCUCAACCUGGAGCGGCCACUCGAUACUGCCAUGGCUUGAGUCCGGUAGGGGACCACGGAAUUCCUGGUGUAGCGGUGAAAUGCGCAGAUAUCAGGAGGAACACCAGUGGCGAAGGCGGUGGUCUGGGCCGGAACUGACGCUGAGGAGCGAAAGCGUGGGUAGCAAACAGG